GAUGAACGCUGGCGGCGUGCCUAAUACAUGCAAGUCGAGCGAACGGACGAGAAGCUUGCUUCUCUGAUGUUAGCGGCGGACGGGUGAGUAACACGUGGAUAACCUACCUAUAAGACUGGGAUAACUUCGGGAAACCGUAGCUAAUACCGGAUAAUAUUUUGAACCGCAUGGUUCAAAAGUGAAAGACGGUCUUGCUGUCACUUAUAGAUGGAUCCGCGCUGCAUUAGCUAGUUGGUAAGGUAACGGCUUACCAAGGCAACGAUGCAUAGCCGACCUGAGAGGAUGAUCGGCCACACUGGAACUGAGACACGGUCCAGACUCCUACGGGAGGCAGCAGUAGGGAAUCUUCCGCAAUGGGCGAAAGCCUGACGGAGCAACGCCGCGUGAGUGAUGAAGGUCUUCGGAUCGUAAAACUCUGUUAUUAGGGAAGAAAAUAUGUGUAAGUAACUGUGCACAUCUUGACGGUACCUAAUCAGAAAGCCACGGCUAACUACGUG
rnacentral:rRNA from 1 species